rnacentral:rRNA from 1 species
GAACGCUGGCGGCGUGCCUAAUACAUGCAAGUCGAACGAGUUCUGAUUAUUGAAAGGUGCUUGCAUCUUGAUUUUAAUUUUGAACGAGUGGCGGACGGGUGAGUAACACGUGGGUAACCUGCCCUUAAGUGGGGGAUAACAUUUGGAAACAGAUGCUAAUACCGCAUAAAUCCAAGAACCGCAUGGUUCUUGGCUGAAAGAUGGCGUAAGCUAUCGCUUUUGGAUGGACCCGCGGCGUAUUAGCUAGUUGGUGAGGUAACGGCUCACCAAGGCAAUGAUACGUAGCCGAACUGAGAGGUUGAUCGGCCACAUUGGGACUGAGACACGGCCCAAACUCCUACGGGAGGCAGCAGUAGGGAAUCUUCCACAAUGGACGCAAGUCUGAUGGAGCAACGCCGCGUGAGUGAAGAAGGCUUUCGGGUCGUAAAACUCUGUUGUUGGAGAAGAAUGGUCGGCAGAGUAACUGUUGUCGGCGUGACGGUAUCCAACCAGAAAGCCACGGCUAACUACGUGCCAGCAGCCGCGGUAAUACGUAGGUGGCAAGCGUUAUCCGGAUUUAUUGGGCGUAAAGCGAGCGCAGGCGGUUUUUUAAGUCUGAUGUGAAAGCCCUCGGCUUAACCGAGGAAGUGCAUCGGAAACUGGGAAACUUGAGUGCAGAAGAGGACAGUGGAACUCCAUGUGCAGCGGUGAAAUGCGUAGAUAUAUGGAAGAACACCAGUGGCGAAAGCGGCUGUCUGGUCUGUAACUGACGCUGAGGGCUUCGAAAGCAUGGGUAGCGAACAGGAUUAGAUACCCUGGUAGUCCAUGCCGUAAACGAUGAAUGCUAGGUGUUGGAGGGUUUCCGCCCUUCAGUGCCGCAGCUAACGCAUUAAGCAUUCCGCCUGGGGAGUACGACCGCAAGGUUGAAACUCAAAGGAAUUGACGGGGGCCCGCACAAGCGGUGGAGCAUGUGGUUUAAUUCGAAGCAACGCGAAGAACCUUACCAGGUCUUGACAUCUUUUGAUCACCUGAGAGAUCAGGUUUCCCCUUCGGGGGCAAAAUGACAGGUGGUGCAUGGUUGUCGUCAGCUCGUGUCGUGAGAUGUUGGGUUAAGUCCCGCAACGAGCGCAACCCUUAUGACUAGUUGCCAGCAUUUAGUUGGGCACUCUAGUAAGACUGCCGGUGACAAACCGGAGGAAGGUGGGGAUGACGUCAAAUCAUCAUGCCCCUUAUGACCUGGGCUACACACGUGCUACAAUGGAUGGUACAACGAGUUGCGAGACCGCGAGGUCAAGCUAAUCUCUUAAAGCCAUUCUCAGUUCGGACUGUAGGCUGCAACUCGCCUACACAAAGUCGGAAUCGCUAGUAAUCGCGGAUCAGCACGCCGCGGUGAAUACGUUCCCGGGCCUUGUACACACCGCCCGUCACACCAUGAGAGCUUGUAACACCCGAAGCCGGUGGCGUAACCCUUUUAGGGAGCGAGCCGUCUAAGGUGGGACAAAUGAUUAGGGUG